rnacentral:lncRNA from 1 species
UGGAGUUGCAAAACAGGUGGAGGUGGAACUACUGCUGACGUCUUGCGCAACGUCGUCAUCUUUGAAGUCCAUUGUUCUGCGAUAGAGUCAGGAGUAAAGAAAUAAGAGGAGCGCUGGGCAUUGCUACGAUCUCACAGGAUCACUAGGAUGAAAAGGCAACGGGAUUCCUCCUGAAAGAAGCAGUUGACUGAUCUAAUCAUUACAGAUCCACCAGAGACUGAAUGGAUAAAACUGCUGAAAGUGAUAGUGGACUCAAAUUUAAACUGGAUUGAACUACCUCUUUCGGGUGAUUGGAUUAACUGCAGAGUAUUUUCGAGACUCCCCACGACUGUAAGGUGAAUACGAAUCAGUUUUCUAUAGAAACAUCUAUGAAGAUAUUCCUCCUUUUGAAAAGAUAUCCUCUGCAUGCUUUGCGACAAUUUAUUAAACAAGUAAACAAAGAAACUUUAUUUUAAGGAACUAUAUUGAUACUGUACAGGGUGUACCGUAAAUGUUGCGAUAAACUUCUGGGAAAGGUAGGCCACAUCGUGAGGAACCCCAUGCCCAGAAACGUCACUGUACGCCGCCAGGGGGUGCUCUACAGGAGAAUGCUAGUGGAAAGUAAGGAUUGCCUCAUUCGAGCAAUAGCCACCAUACGAAGAGCAUAGAACACUAAACGAACGGAGAGCUUGCGUACAUGUACUUAGUGUAUAGAAUAGCUGAGGGUGAUGGAGGAACCGCUGCACGCAUUUAUCGAGAACGCUUCUCCGACAGAUAUCAACCAUACCACAGUUUGUUUGGACGUCUGCUUCAAAAUUUGUGCGACUACGGGUCUUUAAGAAGUGGACUCAUUUUGGACUGAAUGUUCGUAGCCAUUUGAACAGAUCAUUCCCGCAUCGAUGAACUGGGCGUGGUGGACCGGUUCCCUGGCCCCCACGCUCACCGAAUUUAUAGAGUCUUGAUUUCUUUUUAUGAGGAGCCAUCAAAAGUGUCGUGUAUCACGAUCCUGUUGUGUCUGAAAUGGAUAUCUUGGCAAGACUAAUCUGCGCAGCUGCUACAAUCAAAGAAACUCCCAGUGUGUUUGAACAAGUUCAGCAAUCAAUGGUCCGUUGUCGUCUGAUGGUGUAAACUUCGAGCAUUUGUUGUAACAUUAAAGCUGUCGAAACACCAUUUGUAUUCAUGUCGUCCAAUAAAUAUUUUAAAUUAAUCACUCUCUUGCUUUCUUUCCCAUCUUCUACCUCUGCUACCACUUAGACAUUUCCGGGUAUAGGUUCCUAAGCAAUUCUUAAUCUUAAUGAUGUGCACUACCUCUCUAGAAGUUUAUCGCAACAUUUACGAUACACCCUGUAUAUCAAGGACUGAUAUCUUAUAAAAUAAAUCUUAUAGCUGUUCUUUUUGGCAUACCCUCAAAUACCAUAUCAGUACUUACAUAUUAUUCCGUCGAACGUGAAAGUUGGCUACCAUCGAGCCGUGGAAGCUGGCGAAGAUCCUGCCAAAGUUGCUCCAAUCAUUCCUGCAAAAUUCUGAAGGAACUGUAGCCUCUUUAAUAAAC